GCGUCAGUGGUCCAACUGGUAGGACCAGUUGGACCGUAGCACGGUGGCCUGGGCGGUUCCAAAGGGGCUGGUGGGGUUCGGCGCGCGGUUCGUGCGCGCGCGAAGGCAGUCCCGCCUAGCGCUCCA
rnacentral:tRNA from 1 species